AUACUUACCUGGCACAGGAGAUACCGUGAUCACGAAGGCGGUUUUCCCAGGGCGAGGCUCACCAUUGCACUCCGGUGGUGCUGACCCCUGCGAUUAACCCAAAUGUGGUUAACUCGAGUGUGCAAUUUUUGGUAGCGGGGGACUGCGUUCGCGCUCUCCCCCU
rnacentral:snRNA from 1 species